AACAAACGCUGGCGGCGUGGCUAAGACAUGCAAGUCAAACGGUCCGGCAUUUAUUUGUUUACAAAUUCGUGCCGGAUAGUGGCGAAAGGGUUAGUAACGGGUAGGUAACGUACCCUGUGCUUUGGGAUAGCGUCAUUCGCUUUGGGCGAAUUUCCGAAAGGGGCGGUAAUACCAAAUAAUAUCAGUUGUCGAUAGGCAACUGUUCAAAGAUUUAUCGGCACAGGAGCGGCCUGCCUCCUAUCAGCUUGUUGGUGAGGUAAUGGCUCACCAAGGCAGCGACGGGUAGCGGGACUGAGAGGUUGGCCCGCAACAUCGGGACUGAGACACUGCCCGGACCUCCACGGAGGGCUGCAGUAACGAAUCUUGCGCAAUGGGCGAAAGCCUGACGCAGCGACGCCGCGUGUAGGAGGAAGUCCCUCGGGAUGUAAACUACUGUCAGGGGGAAGAAAGUCCACUCCGGUGGAUUGAUCUAACCCACAGGAAGUCACGGCUAACUUCGUGCCAGCAGCCGCGGUAAGACGAAGGUGGCAAGCGUUGUUCGGUAUUACUGGGCUUAAAGCGUGUGUAGGCGGAAAGGUAAGCGUCCUGUGAAAGCCCCCGGCUUAACCGGGGAAUUGCGAGGCGAACUGCUUUUCUUGAGGCAAGUAGGGGUGCAUGGAACUCUUGGUGGAGCGGUGGAAUGCGUAGAUAUCAAGAGGAACGCCGGUGGAGAAAUCGGUGCACUGGGCUUGUCCUGACGCUGAGACACGAAAGCGUGGGGAGCGAGCGGGAUUAGAUACCCCGGUAGUCCACGCUGUAAACGAUGCCUACUAGGUUGUGGUGGUUCUGACAUCAGCACAGCCGAAGCAAAAGUGUUAAGUAGGCCGCCUGGGGAGUACGGUCGCAAGGCUAAAACUCAAAGGAAUUGACGGGGGCUCACACAAGCGGUGGAGCAUGUGGAUCAAUCCGAAGCAACGCGUAGAACCUUACCUGGGUUUGACAUGCUUGGAUGCUUGCUUGGAAACAGGUUAAGCUGCCCUUCGGGGUGAAACUUGCACAGGUGCUGCAUGGCUGUCGCCAGCUCGUGUCGUGAGAUGUCGGGUUAAGUCCUUUAACGAGCGAAACCCUUGCCGUUAGUUGCCAGCGGGUCAUGCCGGGGACUCUAGCGGGACUGCCGGUGUUAAACCGGAGGAAGGUGGGGACGACGUCAAGUCAUCAUGGCCUUUAUGUCCAGGGCUUCACACGUGCUACAAUGGCGGGGACAGAGCGACGCGAUGUCGUGAGACCAAGCAAAUCGCAAAAACCUCGCCCCAGUUCGGAUUGUAGGCUGACAACUUGCCUGCAUGAAGUUGGAAUCGCUAGUAAUCGCGUAUCAGCUAUGACGCGGUAAAUGUGUUCCUGAGCCUUGUACACACCGCCCGUCAAGUGAUGGGAGUUGGGGGUACCCGAAGUCAGUUUGCUAACUCAGUUUACUGGGAAGCGGCUGCCGACGGUAAACCCGAUGACUGGCACU
rnacentral:rRNA from 1 species